rnacentral:rRNA from 1 species
GAGUUUGAUCUUGGCUCAGAUUGAACGCUGGCGGCAUGCCUUACACAUGCAAGUCGAACGGUAACAGGUCUUCGGAUGCUGACGAGUGGCGAACGGGUGAGUAAUACAUCGGAACGUGCCCGAUCGUGGGGGGAUAACGAAGCGAAAGCUUUGCUAAUACCGCAUAAGAUCUACGGAUGAAAGCAGGGGACCGCAAGGCCUUGCGCGAACGGAGCGGCCGAUGGCAGAUUAGGUAGUUGGUGGGAUAAAAGCUUACCAAGCCGACGAUCUGUAGCUGGUCUGAGAGGACGACCAGCCACACUGGGACUGAGACACGGCCCAGACUCCUACGGGAGGCAGCAGUGGGGAAUUUUGGACAAUGGGCGAAAGCCUGAUCCAGCCAUGCCGCGUGCAGGAUGAAGGCCUCGGUUGUAAC